UUGCACAAUGCCAAAGAUCUGCUUGUCAGUCGUUUGACCUUAGCCAGUCGAACAUGUCUCUUGGUGGCUGACGAUAUGUGCAUCUCUGAUUAUGAGUAGAAGUAGUGAGGGAGCAACAUAGUUAUGUGUUGAGAGGAAUUCUUUGGGGUUUGAAACAUUCACCUCUGG